GACGAACGCUGGCGGCGUGCUUAACACAUGCAAGUCGAACGGAAAGGCCCUGCUUUUGUGGGGUGCUCGAGUGGCGAACGGGUGAGUAACAAGUGAGUAACCUGCCCUUGACUUUGGGAUAACUUCAGGAAACUGGGGCUAAUACCGGAAAGGAGCUCCUGCUGCAUGGUGGGGGUUGGAAAGUUUCGGCGGUUGGGGAUGGACUCGCGGCUUAGCAGCUUGUUGGUGGGGUAGUGGCUUACCAAGGCUUUGACGGGUAGCCGGCCUGAGAGGGUGACCGGCCACAUUGGGACUGAGAUACGGCCCAGACUCCUACGGGAGGCAGCAGUGGGGAAUAUUGCACAAUGGGCGGAAGCCUGAUGCAGCAACGCCGCGUGCGGGAUGACGGCCUUCGGGUUGUAAACCGCUUUCGCCUGUGACGAAGCGUGAGUGACGGUAAUGGGUAAAGAAGCACCGGCUAACUACGUG
rnacentral:rRNA from 1 species